rnacentral:rRNA from 1 species
UACGUAGGGGGCUAGCGUUAUCCGGAAUUACUGGGCGUAAAGGGUGCGUAGGUGGUUUUUUAAGUCAGAAGUGAAAGGCUACGGCUCAACCGUAGUAAGCUUUUGAAACUGAGAAACUUGAGUGCAGGAGAGGAGAGUAGAAUUCCUAGUGUAGCGGUGAAAUGCGUAGAUAUCAUGAGGAAGGCCAGUGGCGAAGGCGGGUCUCUGGACAGUUACUGACGCUGAGGCACGAAGGCCAGGGGAGCAAACGGG